GAUCGGCUCCCGACUCGACCGCAUCACCGGGGACCGGCCUCCUCCUGUCCCGUUCUGCUGCAGAACUCGAGGGUUUGAGCGCUUCCAGGGUUUGAUCCGGAUGAGCCGCCGCCUCCAUCGCCCCCCAUCCUCAGCUUUUUAUUAACGGAUCCGGACGAGGCGCUGGUGUCAUCCUUAACGCCGCCAACCUCCGCUCCCCCGUCGUCAUCACCCCUCACGCCUAGCAGUACCAGUAGACCUCGGCCUCCAUCUCGCCUGCAUUUUCAUGAUGAAGGAGGCACGAUCUUCAUCUUGGUCAGACCUACUGCCAGAAAUAUUGGGGCUUGUUCUCAGGCGGCUACCCUCUUUAGCUGAUCGUGUUCGACUAAGGGCAGUGUGCCGCCCAUGGCGUUCCAACGCUCAGCUAGAUGCCCUGCUCCCACUGCUUCCUUGGCUCACCCUCCUUGACGGGACUUUCUUGAGUAUUCCGGAUGGUAAAAUUAUCAGAUUGCCGAUACCUUUUAAGGCUUUUUGCAGAGGUUCUGUUGACAACUGGAUGUUCUUCGUGCAUGGUGAUGGUGGGUGCUCACUGAUGAACCCUUUUUCCAAGGCCACACGGGACAUUUCUAAGCUAGUCACCACGUGGUUCAAUUCAAACUCCAGAUGUUACAGUUAUCAUUUCUUUAAGCUGGUGGCACCCUCGCCCUUGGAAUCAUCACCAGGUUCCCUUGUUGCGCUGAUCUUGGAAGGUGGUGGUAGAAUUCGUAUUUGUCAGCCACCAAUCGCAGUUGACUUGGAGUUGCACCCUGACUCCUCUUGGGCUCAUCACUAGCCACGACUGUCCCUCCUUGAUGAUAUUACCUUCUUUCAUGGAAAAUUGUAUGGUGUUAGUAGGGAUGUGCUUUCAACUUUUGAGAUUACCUAUGGCCUUGAUAGUAAGCCAAAGAUAUCCUCCGACCUAUGCAUAACCAGUUACCCGGCUUUUUUUCGACUUUGGCCACCCCGACAGGUGCCUGGCUCGUGCUUGGUGCUGAGUUAUCUAGUUGAAUGUUGUGGUAGACUGUUAAUGGUGAAACGAAUGAUUGGGUGUAAUCUAGAAACAGAACCUUGUCCCUUGGAGUCUGAUCGCACCGCAGGGUUUGAGGUCUUUGAGGCAGAUUUGAGCACCAAACCAGGCCAAUGGAUAUCUGUCCGUGAGUUGGGUAGCCAAGCUCUCUUUGUUGGGAAGCACUGCUCCAAGUCUUUUCCUGCUGGGGAGUUUACUGGAGUUGAAGAGAACUGCAUAUAUUUCAUGCGUGACUAUUUUCCGGCGAACCUAGCUGCUAAUCCUCUUGGUGACAGUGGUGUGUACAACAUGAAAAGUGGGAAUAUCAAACCCUUGUUAUCAGAGACUGCAGCUGUGCCACAGCAUCAUGGUGGUCGGUGGUGUCCAACUUGGAUAUUCCCAACUGAUGCUAUGUAAUCGCUCAGCUUAGCUUGCUGUUCUGGGAUUAAGUAUGCACUUUUAAACUUAUGUUAGUCGCUCAGUUAUCUAUUAUUGAACCAUAUUAGCUACUCAAUAAGACUAAAGUAUCAUCUAUUUGCGGUAUGUUCUUAAGCUAGUUUUUCAUUGUACUGAACUUAGUUUCAAUAAUAAUGUUUACUUAUGGUGAUGAUGAGACCAAGGAGAAUUUCAUUUCACGCCUUGUCUUGGUUGAUUUUCUUUUAUAGUCCUGUGGUGAUGCCUGGCUUUUGGUGUGUAAAAUUUUCUGUCUCUGGUUUAUGUAUAUGAUGACUGUAAUCCUGUGGCUCUAUCUUACAGAUAUUUUGCUU